UACGAAGGGGGCUAGCGUUGCUCGGAAUUACUGGGCGUAAAGGGCGCGUAGGCGGAUACUUAAGUUGGGGGUGAAAGCCCGGGGCUCAACCUCGGAAUUGCCUUCAAUACUGGGUAUCUUGAGUUCGGGAGAGGUGAGUGGAAUGCCGAGUGUAGAGGUGAAAUUCGUAGAUAUUCGGCGGAACACCAGUGGCGAAGGCGACUCACUGGCCCGAUACUGACGCUGAGGCGCGAAAGCGUGGGGAGCAAACAGG
rnacentral:rRNA from 1 species